CCCACGUGCGCCGCGCCCGGGCCGGUUCCCGCGCGCGCCGGCCGGUCCCUGCCCCUGCGGGCCAUGGCCGGGUUCGAGCCGGGCUCGCUGCCCGACCUGCUGCCGCUCUACUACCGCCGCCUCUUCCCCCACGGGCCCUACGGGCGCUGGCUCAGCUACGGCGGGGUGGUGAAGAAUUACUUCCAGCGGCGGGAGUUCUCCUUCACGCUGCGCGAUGACAUCUACGUGCGGUACCAGUCCUUCAACAGCCCCCAGGAGCUGGAGAAAGAGAUGCAGAAAAUGAACCCCUAUAAGAUCGACGUGGGAGCCGUGUAUUCGCAUCGACCCAGCCAGUGCAACGCCGUGCACAGGGGCGCCUUCCAGGCUCAGGAGAAGGAGCUGGUGUUCGACAUAGACAUGACGGAUUACGACGACGUCCGGAGCUGCUGCAGCUCCGCUGAGAUCUGCUCCAAGUGUUGGACCCUUAUGACCAUCGCAAUCCGGGUCAUCGACCGCGCGCUCGUGGAGGAUUUCGGGGUGAAGCACCGCCUGUGGGUGUAUUCGGGCCGGCGAGGCGUCCACUGCUGGGUGUGUGAUGACUCCGUCCGGAAGUGGUCGUCCGCCAUGCGCUCCGCGACGGUGGAGUAUCUCACCCUCGUGAAGGGCGGGUCCGAAACCGUAAAGAAGGUGAACCUGACUGACCCCAUUCACCCGUUCAUCAGCAACUCGCUGAGUCUGGUGGAGCCGUACUUCGAAGAAUAUGCCCUGGUGGGCCAGGAUAUCCUGGGCAGCAAGGAGAGCUGGGAGAAGGUGGUUGCCCUCGUCCCAGAGCCGGUUCGAGAGAGCCUGCUGCGGGAAUUCCCCAAAAAGCGUGAUUCGCUCCAGCGCUGGGAGCUCCUGAAAAACAAAAUGGAUAAAUGCAGGCCCUCCCACGCGGAGUCGGAGAUCAUGUUGCAAUUCUGCUUCCCCCGGCUGGAUAUCAACGUCAGCAAGGGAGUCAGCCACUUACUGAAGAGCCCGUUCAGCGUCCACCCCAAAACAGGUCGUGUUUCGGUCCCAAUCGAUUUGCAGAAGCUGGAUCAGUUUGACCCGUUCGCCGUUCCAACCAUAAGCCGCCUCUGUAGUGAACUGGACACGGCUCACGAGGAGGAGGAGGAGGAUGGAGAGAAGGAAAACGAGGCAGAGCCAGUGCCCAAGCGUCGCACCAGGGACUACAAGAAAACCAGCUUGGCUCCUUACGUGAGAGUCUUCGAACGGUUCGUGGAGGAAAUGGACAAGUCUCGCAAAGGGGAGCUUCUCAGGAAGAGCGGUAGGGGCCAAGGAGGGGACUGGGUGGGGCUUUUCCUCUUCCAGGCUGCUCGAAACCUUUCAGGGCUCUCCCUUCCCUGCAGAAAUGUGGUCCUGACUUCUAAGCGUGGGCGGGGGCGAUACUGUCCAAUGGUCAGUCCACAGCUGCCUGGGUUCUAUUCCAGCUGUGUCACCCUGAAAAGUGACUUCAGCUCCCCUUAGGUUGUGUCCUCCCUGCAGAUAAAAGGGAUGUUCUUCACUCAGGUUAAUCCAGCGCUGAAGACAUGGCAACUCUGCUCUUAACUCGGGUUAGCUGCUGUGAACUCUUUGGGACUGAGACACGGCAGAACACCGAGCAUGGUAUGGCCCUGAUUUCAGCCGAAGCCUCUGAGCUCUGCUGUAAUACAAAUAGGUAAUAACAAUGACCCAGGGACCUGCACAUGGUGGCUGAAGUGGCUACGGACAGACAGUCUUGGGGAUGAAUUGCAUUGCUCUGUUCAAUGAGAACGUAACCAAGAAGGUUGUGUGUCUUAAUGCCCACAAACUUCCGCUUACUGCAGCCAUACUCAGACCGGGUAGCUCUUCGGUGUGUCUCCUGCCACUCUUCGCAGCACGUGAUAUUAAAACACUAUGAUUUAAUUAUUAGCCCAUCAGGGUGCUUUUACUGUGUUAUAACUGAUUGUAGUUGAUCAAAUAAUAAUACCAUGUCAGUGAUUUUGCUGUGAGAAUAAUAUAUACGUUCAAUAUUUCCCCGUCAUUCUGUUAAAAAUAUGAAUAUAGAGCACCCAUCAUCAAUGAAACAAUGAAUUCACAUGCUGGCGGCUCUGCUGGGGAAUGCUGAGCGCUAAUUUGGCUCCUGAACUGCUGCGGUCUGAGAAUCACUGGCUUAGAGGAAAAGAAAGGCAGAUGUAUAAUAAGCCACAGGUGCAGCUUCCUCUGGUGCAUAAGAUCCUGUGUUUCUUUCCUUUAGAUUUACAAGGAGAUUUCUGAGGAUUCUGGCGUCUCCAGGGGGGAAAUCUACGUCUGGGUAACUCUGCUGAGACUGAAGCUGAUCCUUCAACCCAGGGGCGGGCAGUGGAGAUUGUGUCUAGAUUGCUGCCCUUUGCCAGCAAAGAAGGAAGGAGCACCCUGUGCUCUGGAGCACACCAUUAUUAAUGGAAGAAGCUGCCUGACAGCCCCAGAUGCAUGAGAUUGGACCGUUGUAUUCGUCAUUUCUAAGCGAUGGUUCCCCAGGCUCAGCUCUUCCAGAUUUUGACCUCGACUGACUUAUUCCAGACAUCAAAGGCUACUCCAAUUGUCCCUCUUCCUGCUUAAGUGUUCCCUUCUGGCUGCAGCCUGUGUAGUCCUCUCCCUGCUGCGGGAUUUAAUUUGCAAGCUCUUUAUCUCGGAGUGUCGAAUGACUCCAGGCAGCCUGGGUCUGAUGGCCCAGUAGGAGGCGCUCUGUGCAUCCUUCUUUUGUACUUUUUUGUGCAAAAAGAAAACUAUUAAAGGGUUCUGUUGAA